GCUCCAGUGGCGCAACGGUUAGCGCGCGACGGUACUUAUAAUGCCGAGGUUGUGAGUUCGAGCCUCACCUGGAGCA